CGGCUGCUUGGCUCGCUCGUGAUCAGGGCUUGGGUUCUAUGGCCCUCGUGGAUCCACAAAUCCCCCUUUCUCCUCCUCCGCAGGCUCCACAUUUUAAAACCUCCCUCCACGGCCCCUCUCCCACCACCACCACCACUCCCCCACCGGAGCCGCCAGCCUCCAUCCAAUUCCUCCCCGUCUCUCCUUCUCCACGCAAGCACAAGGGGCAAGAAAGGCGGCAUCGUCACCAAAUUGGGCAAGAUUCUCUCUUUCUCGCACGCAACCAAUCGCCAGCCAGCCAGCAUCACUCCUUCUCCCGCGGCUGUCAUACAAGGACAAGAGAGGCUGCUGGUCUCCAGAGAUUUUGCGGUUCUUGGGAGCUCCGAGCGCGUGAGCUGGCCUGCGUCGUUGGAGCCUAGGUUCUUGGAUAUUGGUGGGCGAGCGAGCGAGCGAGCUUGCCGAGAUGCUGUCUGUGAGCUCGCCGAGGAUGCACAUGAGCCGGAACGCCGUGGAUUUGGGCCUGCUGGCCGCCUGCCGCUGCCGCCGCUGGGCCGCGCGCCCGGCGCCCAGGCGGCGCGCGCCAUGUGUUUGUUUCGUGGCCGCACCCAGCCAGACAGGUCUCGCGGCGAUCGACGUGCCGGCGGCUGAGACCAUUGCCAGCGCGGCGGCCGGGGCGGCGAGGCUCCCCGAGCGCGUGUCCAUCGCUUCGCUCUUGGAUGUCGUCUCGGAUGACCUGCUCAAGCUCAACAACAACCUCAAAUCGCUUAUUGGUGCAGAAAAUCCAGUUUUAGUAUCUGCCGCAGAACAAAUUUUUGGUGCUGGUGGAAAGAGAUUAAGACCAGCAUUGGUUUUUCUGGUGUCCAGAGCAACAGCGGAAGUAGCUGGCUUGUCGGAGCUAACUACAGAACAUAAACGCUUGGCAGAGAUCAUAGAAAUGAUUCACACUGCGAGUUUAAUACAUGAUGAUGUCAUAGAUGAUAGUGGAAUGCGCAGAGGGAAAGAAACCAUCCAUCAGCUGUACGGAACACGGAUAGCGGUGCUUGCUGGCGAUUUUAUGUUUGCACAAUCUUCUUGGUUUCUCGCAAACCUAGAGAACAUUGAGGUUAUAAAGCUCAUCAGCCAGGUGAUCAAGGACUUUGCUAGUGGGGAGAUAAAGCAGCAAUCGACCCUGUUCGACUGCGACGUCACCCUGGACGACUACCUGCUCAAGAGCUACUACAAGACGGCCUCCCUGCUCGCUUCAAGCACGAGGUCCGCGGCCAUAUUCAGCGGGGUGAGCACCGCAGUAUGCGAGCAGAUGUACGAGUACGGCAGGAACCUGGGGCUGUCGUUCCAGGUGGUGGACGACAUCCUCGACUUCACGCAGUCGGCGGAGCAGCUGGGCAAGCCGGCGGGGAGCGACCUGGGAGAUCAUCGACUCGGAGUUCUGCGACACGGGCUCGCUGUCGGCUGCCAUGGAGCUGGUACAUAAAAGCGGCGGGAUACGGCGGGCGCAGGAGCUGGCCAAGGAGAAGGGCGACCUGGCGCUGCAGAACCUGCAGUGCCUCCCCAGGAGCCAUUUCAGGACCGCCCUUGAGAACAUGGUGAAUAUCAUGUCGAUUUCUCGGAGAUGGUCGGUGCGACAAGGUCACCAAAAACGCCGUCUAUUUUUUUGCAUAUCGUGUAAGUGCAAGGUAAAUAUAUCCACUAUGGAUUCAUUCAUCUCCUCCACGUGACGGUGCAGGCAGAUGAACGUGAUGGUGUUCUUUUAUUUACACGUUACACACUACGGAAGGAAGGAAGGAAGGCAGAUGGUACGUACCGUCUGAUCGGAUCGUGAAGGGUUCGGCGGAGGCGGACUUCUUCACUGAGUACGGCGACGCCAACCGGUACAAGAUCCAGGAGGUCAUCGGCAAGGGGAGCUACGGGGUUGUGUGCUCCGCCCUUGAUCUGCAGACCAGGCAGAAAGUGGCCAUCAAGAAGAUACACAAUAUCUUCGAGCAUACCUCCGACGCCGCGCGGAUCCUCCGUGAGAUCAAGCUUCUGAGGCUCCUACGGCAUCCCGACGUCGUCGAGAUCAAGCACAUUAUGCUGCCUCCCUCCAGAAAGGACUUCAAGGACAUCUACGUUGUUUUUGAGCUCAUGGAGUCUGAUCUCCACCAAGUUAUUAAGGCCAACGAUGACUUGACGAAAGAGCACUACCAGUUCUUUCUCUACCAGCUACUCCGAGCCCUCAAAUACAUUCAUACUGCUAGUGUUUACCAUCGUGACCUGAAGCCCAAGAAUAUUUUGGCAAAUUCUAACUGCAAACUGAAGAUAUGUGAUUUUGGACUAGCACGAGUUGCAUUCAACGAUACCCCAACAACUGUCUUCUGGACGGAUUAUGUCGCGACAAGAUGGUAUAGAGCUCCAGAGCUCUGCGGAUCCUUCUUCACAAAGUAUACACCUGCCAUUGACAUUUGGAGCAUUGGGUGCAUUUUCGCUGAGGUGCUGACAGGAAAGCCUUUGUUUCCUGGUAAAAAUGUUGUCCAUCAGUUAGACUUAAUGACUGAUCUCCUAGGGACACCUUCAAUGGAUACAAUUUCUCGGGUCCGAAAUGAGAAAGCAAGAAGGUACUUGAGCAGUAUGAGAAAGAAAGACCCGGUCCCAUUUUCUCAGAAGUUUCCUAAUGCAGAUCCUUUGGGAGUUAAACUCUUGGAGAAGCUAUUAGCCUUUGAUCCAAAAGACCGUCCAACUGCGGAAGAGGCAUUGACUGAUCCAUACUUUAGAGGCCUUUCCAAGCCAGAGAGAGAACCAUCCUGUCAGCCAAUCAGAAAAAUGGAGUUUGACUUUGAGCACAGCAGAGUGUCAAAGGAUGAUAUAAGGGAGCUGAUAUUCCAGGAGAUAUUGGAAUAUCAUCCGCAAUUGCUGAAGAGCUACACUGAUGGCACAGAGAGGACAACCUUUCUCUACCCAAGUGCUGUCGAUCAUUUCAAGAAGCAGUUCUCUCAUCUUGAAGAAAGCGAUGGCAGCGGCCCUGUAGUCCCAGCAGAUAGAAAACAUGCAUCUCUUCCUAGGUCCACUAUUGUUCACUCGACUCCAAUUCCCGCGAAGGACACUCGGCCGCUCUUUGGCAAGCCUUGCAACAAAACUUCCUCGGAGACAGGGAGGUAUGCUGGGAAUGGUCACGGUGCUUCUCAGGCUUCACACGCGGCACAAGCAGUGAUUUCGCGGAGAGCUGCCGGUUCAGCGUUACCUUAUGACGCGGCAAGCAGGCCGACGAUUAGCCCAGGAUGCCCUCCUCAGCAGCAGAUCCCACAAAUGUAUGGGCAAUAUCAGCAUCAAGCACCUCCUGGUGCUGGUGCUGGUGCUGGGAUACCACAGGCCAUGGGGGGCUAUGCCUGUGGUGGGUACACCAAAGGCACGGCGCCUAAUGCUGCUGCUGCUGCUCCGGCCAUGAGAGCACCCCCCUAUCGACACCUACCGACGGGGCAGAAGAACGGCCCGCUGGACAGACUGGCAGUGGAGACCACCGACAUAUACACGCGGUCGCUCAACGGCAUCGUCGCCGCCGCCGCGGCAUCGGCCGGUGCCACGGGCGCCCACAGGAAGGUGGGCGCCGUGCCGUUUGGCAUGCCGACGACUUACUAGCGGCUAAGAAGGCGGCAGCGGCGCGUACCUAGACCCUUCGGCCGGAACAGUAGCAACCGGAGGGAGGCAUUGGCCUGAAAUAAGUUGGCGGAUGAGGAUCGUCCGACGACGACGACGGCGGCGAAGGCAUACAGAGAUAGUAGGUGCGAAAUCCUCUUCCAAGUCGUCUCUAGGCUACACACAAAAGACGGAGGGACGGAUGUGGCCAGACGAGCUGUUUAUUUAGGUGCAAAUGAAAAUUAAUUAGCUGGUUAGCGGCCGGCUGGAGACAGGUCAACUCAACACAGAAAUGAAGUCUGUACUGUGCUACUGCUUACUAUCCAACAGACUGAUUAAUUGAUUAAAGGGAUGAUGGUCCAUUGAUCAUCAUCAUAUGAUUCA